rnacentral:rRNA from 1 species
UACGUAGGUGGCAAGCGUUGUCCGGAAUUAUUGGGCGUAAAGCGCGCGCAGGCGGCCUCUUAAGCCUGAUGUGAAAGCCCCCGGCUCAACCGGGGAGGGCCAUUGGAAACUGGGAGGCUUGAGUAUAGGAGAGAAGAGUGGAAUUCCACGUGUAGCGGUGAAAUGCGUAGAGAUGUGGAGGAACACCAGUGGCGAAGGCGACUCUUUGGCCUAUAACUGACGCUGAGGCGCGAAAGCGUGGGGAGCAAACAGG